UAGGGAAUCUUCCGCAAUGGACGCAAGUCUGACGGAGCAACGCCGCGUGAGUGAAGAAGGAUUUCGGUUCGUAAAACUCUGUUGUUAGAGAAGAACAGCGCAUAGAGUAACUGUUAUGCGUGUGACGGUAUCUAACCAGAAAGCCACGGCUAACUACGUGCCAGCAGCCGCGGUAAUACGUAGGUGGCAAGCGUUGUCCGGAUUUAUUGGGCGUAAAGCGAGCGCAGGCGGUCAAUUAAGUCUGAUGUGAAAGCCCCCGGCUCAACCGGGGAGGGUCAUUGGAAACUGGUUGACUUGAGUGCAGAAGAGGAGAGGGGAAUUCCAUGUGUAGCGGUGAAAUGCGUAGAUAUAUGGAGGAACGCCAGUGGCGAAGGCGACUCUCUGGUCUGUAACUGAAGCUGAGGUUCGAAAGCGUGGGUAGCAAACAGG
rnacentral:rRNA from 1 species